GCUGGGUGCAGUGGCGUACACCUGUAAUCCUGGCAGCUUGGGAGGCUGAGGCAGGACUGCGAGUUCAAAUGCAGCCUCAGCAAAAGUGAGGCAUUAAGCAACUCAGUGAGACCUGUCUCUA
rnacentral:sRNA from 1 species